rnacentral:tRNA from 1 species
AGUUUAGAAACUUUGAGUUGAAGUAGUAAAUUUUUAAUUUACUUAAGAGAAUUUUUAUCUCCUUAACUA